GCCAGGCGUGGUGGCGUGCACCUGUAGUCCCAGCUACUUGGGAGGCUGAGGCAGGAGAAUCGCUUGAACCCAGGAAGUGGAGGAUGCAGUGAGCCAAGAUCAUGCCACUGCACUCCAGCCUGGGCGACAGAGCGAGACUCUGUCUCAA
rnacentral:SRP_RNA from 1 species